rnacentral:rRNA from 1 species
ACGGGUGAGUAACACGUGGGAACGUACCCUUUUCUACGGAAUAACCCAGGGAAACUUGGACUAAUACCGUAUGUGCCCUUCGGGGGAAAGAUUUAUCGGAAAAGGAUCGGCCCGCGUUGGAUUAGCUAGUUGGUGGGGUAGAGGCCUACCAAGGCGACGAUCCAUAGCUGGUCUGAGAGGAUGAUCAGCCACAUUGGGACUGAGACACGGCCCAAACUCCUACGGGAGGCAGCAGUGGGGAAUAUUGGACAAUGGGCGCAAGCCUGAUCCAGCCAUGCCGCGUGAGUGAUGAAGGCCUUAGGGUUGUAAAGCUCUUUCACCGGAGAAGAUAAUGACGGUAUCCGGAGAAGAAGCCCCGGCUAACUUCGUGCCAGCAGCCGCGGUAAUACGAAGGGGGCUAGCGUUGUUCGGAUUUACUGGGCGUAAAGCGCACGUAGGCGGAUCGAUCAGUCAGGGGUGAAAUCCCAGAGCUCAACUCUGGAACUGCCUUUGAUACUGUCGAUCUGGAGUAUGGAAGAGGUGAGUGGAAUUCCGAGUGUAGAGGUGAAAUUCGUAGA